ACGUUGGUGGCUCAGUGGUAGCACUCUUGCCUUCCAUGUGGGAGAUCUGGGUUCGAUUCCCAGCCAGCACA
rnacentral:tRNA from 1 species